GUGCUCACUCUGGCAGUACAUAUAUUAAAAUUGGGAUGAUAUUGAAAAGAUUAACAUGGUACCUGAACAAGAAUGACACACAAAUUGAACUUUGUACUAUACAUCUUC